UGCAUGUGCUACCACUAUUGAGGGUAAAAGACAAAGUUGCAGCAUUUCAAACAUAUUGCAAAGAUUUUCUCACACAGCGGAGAACCUCCGCCACAGGGAAAAUUUAUUCUGCCCCACAUGCAGUCCUUACUGUAGUUGUGCGUUCCUGUACUCGUUUCAGUUCCACUUCAACCAAUCGAUCUUUUCAUUCGCAUCAUCUUGCAUCUCCAGAACCUCUCUACUUCGCUUUAAAGACAGAAACGUGCACAUCCAAAAGUAGAGAUCAAAUUUUUUUUUUUUUUUGCAGUUUACCCGUCUUGAACAACUUCUUCAUGGAUGUCUUCAUUUUCGGCACAUUGGAUCCGACUAAGUUAUCAAGUUUUGUCGCAACUUUCUCACUUGCGGUCGUGGUUCUGUCAAAUGAGAAUGAUAAUUCCCUUGCUGAUAUUUUAGUUCUCCCUACUUUUGCUACCACUGGAUCUACGUUUCUCUCCACUCCUACAGUCGGAGACAUCCAGCUUGAUGCGGGCCUGUCUAACUUGUCACCCUCAUCACUGGAGUCAUUGCUCUCCUUGCAUAUCGGCGUUGUGUCGCCUGUGUCAUUGUUUGCACUGUCUUCAAACAUGGCGAACCUGGUCCUACACAAUUUCGUCAAUGUCGUUGCAUACUUCUCAUUAUCGAAUGCAUUGUAGAACAGAACAGGUAGGCGUAUAUCUCUCUGUAUUCCUUAUUCUCUUGUUCGGAGUGGAAGAAAAAGAAAGGCACAACGAGUCAGGAGCAAGGGUAAGGAAUUAAAAUAUGGAAGUACACAACUGAAUUUUAUAACAUAUGCUCCUUUCAUUUUUUCUAUGAGAAGGUUAUGCAAUUAUCUGCUAAUAGUCUUCCAAAUACUAUAGCCCAAAGAUGAAGAUCGAAUUGUGACAUGUUUGAUUACAAGUUCUUAGCACAAAUAAAAUGAAUACUAUAGUGUUGUUUGACAUCCAAAUUUGGAAAGUGGCAAUUCAAGUAGCUUUGUACCUUAAUCUUUCGCGCCCACCACUCAUCGGAGGCAACUAGGCAUCCUCGUGCAGAGUCGUAUGCAAUGUCGGUGCAGUAUAUCAACUCCUAGAGACGUUUAUACUUGACUCGAAGAUAAUCCUUAUGAUUCUUCAACUACUCCAAUCGUGCCACGAAUUAGCGUUGAACAAUUGGACGAGUGUGUGUAGCCAUGUUUCGUGAAGCACUUUCCAUUACAGUGCAUGUUGGCUAUGACUGUCUCACAGGCAGUAAUGAAGACUCGAUUAUCUUCUGGCGUCCACUGGGCAGUCCUCCUCGUAGGGGCUUGGGGCUAGAUUGGUGGGCGGUUGGAAGUGGAGGCGGUGUGGAAGCCCAUCUGCGUCUGAGAAGGAAAAUGAAAUAAAAAUGAGAUGCGGACUUUUCUUACAUGUAAGCAUACAAAUCUUAACUGCAAAUUAGUACAGGUAAAUAUAUGAAACAUAAAUGCUCUCUCGUCCAAUGAUUGGAAUGACAAAAUUUUAUCUGCUCAACGAAUUAGUUUGAAAUCCAAACCCUUCUAGACAACCAGACAAGGAACCACAGCUCAUUCCCCCAGUUUCCCUUUUACCACGUGAAAUUAUAUUUAUGUUCUCAAAAAUGAAUAAAAUUGGCAAAACGAACUUAGGAGUUUUUAGGUCUGUAAACAAUUAAUGGAGCUAUUUUUCCCCGGGCCUUCCAUAAUUCGAUUUUCAGAGAUUGCCCCCGGAAAAUGCUAGUACAUACAUAUAAUAUAUAUGGAUACACGUACAUAAAGAGAGAACCAAUUUGCAAUUUUGCAGAGCAACGAUUUCUCAUAUAGUCGUAAUUCAUGGCCAUACAAUUUUGACCUAAAAAUUUAAUUUUACUUAAUAGGUUUGUGAUUCAAGGAGAGAAACAAAGAAAGACAGAAAAAUGAUGCAAGUGUUUCUGGCAAACGUGAAAAAACUACUGCACUAAAUUAUACAACCAAGCUUUGAGAUUUCAAGCAACAAGUUUCUGUAAAGAAAUUGUAUGCUACCGCCUCUGACCCUUCAUGACUAAUAAUUGAAUAGAAAAUAAUAAAAUUUUGACAUUUCAAAUUUUUUGUAUCCCAAAGGCAUAUUUGCUUUAUGGCACAAGCAACCAUCAGCUUUUUUUACUAUUUUCUAGAUAUCUUCUCGAACAUAUAAUGUAAUAACAAGUUCAUAUUAGUUAUAAGAUCUAUUCUUCAGUAGUAGUGAUUUCUCAUAGUGGUAAUUCAUGGCAGCAGAACUAUAGGAAAAAAUGAGAGAUUUCCAACACUAACCGAGGUGAAAUAUGGAUCCAUAGUGCUCUAAACCUGUAUGGAUUUUUCGAUCACUUUAUCGUCGUCCCUGUCGGUGAAACGGGAAGAAAUUGUUCGGCCAGUCUAGAAAUACCUUUGCUUUGUGGAAGUGUGGUGGGUUUGGGUGUGAG
rnacentral:lncRNA from 1 species